AUGAAACUAACAUGACAGCGUGUGCGAGUACGGUGCGACACAGUCGCGAGGGUAGUUUUUGACGGGGGGCUAUGUUGUCAUUGCGCACACUUGGUGCAUUGCCAAUAGGACGGCGCCAGAUCGGAGGUUUUACAGGCAUUGCAUUUGAUGUUUGUAAAACACCAUGACAAGAAACGUCCGCCCGUCUGUCCGGAACAUUUGUUGGUCUUGCAUAACUUUACCUGUGUGCAUGCACGCCGCAGUCCAGGUGAAUUGUUUCAAAUGUAAUCCGAUGUAGUUGUUUUUUUUGUGUGUGUGUGUGUGUGGGGGGGGGCGCUAUGAUGUCAUUGCGCACACUUGGUGCAUUGCUAGGCGUUGCCAAUAGGACGGCGCCAGAUCGGAGGUUUUACAGGCAUUGCGUUUGAUGUUUGUAAAACACCAUAACAAGAAACGUCCGCCCGUCUGUCCGGAACAUAAGUUAACUUUACCCGUGUGCAUGCACGUCGCAGUCCAGGUGAAUUGUUUCAAAUGUAAUCCGAUUCUGUGUAAGAAAUCUCUUUUCAACAUGCACUGCAGUUUAAAGUAAACCGUUUUGUGAGCAUCAGCACUUGAUUGCGUUUUUUCAUUGCAGUUUUGGGUUCAUGCUGUGGAGUAUGAAAUCCAAGAUAUUCAAGUUGGCAGGGGCAAGCACUAUUCGGUGAGAAGCGACUGCAAUCAUCAUCAUCAUCUUUGCAGCCAACCUGUGCAGCAGCGAGUUGCUUGCGUCCAGUAGACUGUCAACAAGAGCUGCGGCCCAAGUCAAAACAUGCCUCGGUAGGCCAAAGGGAACCACAGUAUGUGUACUCCCCCACCAUGGUAACGCGAGAAUGAUUGUGUAACAGCACAAGCGAUGAACUUGUAAUGUAAAUUGACAUCGUCAUACAGAGUGUGCGCGUGUAUUUGUGUGCGUGUGUGACGCAGAGAAAGCACCUUUACUUGAUUUUUCUGAUGUGCUUUUUUCCCCCACAGGGUUGGGCACAACAUGUCUCAUUGCUUUUUCCCCCUAAAGAGAAAAUUAGAGUAAAAAUAUACGAGGGCGAGGCUAAACGUGUUUUGAUGUACCGGAGCUAUCAAUCACAACCAAUGAGUAAUACAUCACGACGACAAAAAUACGAACACCUGCAGUCGCCAUUGUAUUUUUUUUUUUUUUUACAAUCUAAUCACUCCUAGGGAUUGAUUUUAAGAUCAGAUGUGUAUCUUUUUUCACUCUGGAAAAUGACGUUAACUUUGAAGACAAUGGAGACGCGAGUAGCGAACCUAGCCACAACGCUAGCUGCAAAUGUUAUGUAGCAUGUCAACAGCGGGGUGCUAGUUUGCGAACACGCACUCUUUACACAAUACAUAGUCAACGAGGCGUGCUGACUGACUAGCUCCUUGCAUUUCCCCCCUCUUGCACCGUGCACAGCUUUCCACCUGGCGACUUAAAUUUCUUAAAAGGUGGCUAGCUUACAAAGACGACUUACGCAGACAUAUAUGCAAUAUAUGCAUUCCUCAGGGAAAAAGUAGCAUGUGAGCGUUGUAGGGAGGGUAAAAAAAAAACCCCACAUACCUCCUUUGGACAGAGACAUUUCCCCUUUGCUUUGAUGAGGGGGAAGGGAAGCACAAAGACUUUUUGCCUUUUUCUACUCCCUCCCUCGCCGCAUCGAACUCCUACGCCCGCUCAGGAUCGCAGGCUGCUCGUGCAGGGGAAAAAAUAGCAGCAACGAUGAGCAAAAAAUGAAAUAAAAAUGUCCGUCUUUGCGCGCCCCAAUCGUCCCCGACUGCUUAAGUAAACGUUCGCCGGGCGAUUACCAGGCAGAUGCACGCUUUGUCUUGGGAUCGCAGGCUAUACACUUCGAGUAAGU